UACGAAGGGUGCAAACGUUGCUCGGAAUUAUUGGGCGUAAAGCGCACGUAGGCGGCAUUGCAAGUCGGAUGUGAAAUCCCUCGGCUUAACCAAGGAAGUGCAUCCGAAACUGCAGUGCUUGAGUACUUAAGAGGAUCGCGGAAUUCCCGGUGUAGAGGUGAAAUUCGUAGAUAUCGGGAGGAACACCAGUGGCGAAGGCGGCGAUCGUGGGUCGAUACUGACGCUGAGGUGCGAAAGCGUGGGGAGCAAACAGG
rnacentral:rRNA from 1 species